UUAGACCAGUUAGGGGUGAUCCUUCUGACCAGUCAGGGGCGAGCUUUAGACCAGUCAGGGGUGAUCCUUCUGACCAGUCAGGGACGAGCCUUCUGACCAGUCAGGGACGAGCCUUCUGACCAGUCAGGGACGAGCCUUCUGACCAGUCAGGGGUGAUCCUUCUGACCAGUCAGGGACGAGCCUUCUGACCAGUCAGGGACGAGCCUUCUGACCAGACAGGCACGAGCCUUCUGACCAGACAGGCACGAGCUUUAGACCAGUCAGGGACGAGCCUUCUGACCAGUCAGGGGCGAGCUUUAGACCAGUCAGGGACGAGCUUUAGACCAAUCAGGGAUGAGCUUUAGACCAUCAGGGACGAGCUUUAGACCAAUCAGGGACGAGCCUUCUGACCAGUCAGGGACGAGCUUUAGACCAGUCAGGAUCAGCCCUCUGACCAAUCCAGCAGAAGCUUCUCACCAAUCAGGGCAAAGAUUAUAUAUCUAAACGUUUUAAGCCAAAA